GACGAACGCUGGCGGCGUGCUUAACACAUGCAAGUCGAACGCUGAAGCUUGGUGCUUGCACUGGGUGGCUGAGUGGCGAACGGGUGAGUAAUACGUGAGUAACCUGCCCUUGACUCUGGGAUAAGCCUGGGAAACUGGGUCUAAUACUGGAUACGACAUGUCACCGCAUGGUGGUGUGUGGAAAGGGUUUUACUGGUUUUGGAUGGGCUCACGGCCUAUCAGCUUGUUGGUGGGGUAAUGGCUCACCAAGGCGACGACGGGUAGCCGGCCUGAGAGGGUGACCGGCCACACUGGGACUGAGACACGGCCCAGACUCCUACGGGAGGCAGCAGUGGGGAAUAUUGCACAAUGGGCGAAAGCCUGAUGCAGCGACGCCGCGUGAGGGAUGACGGCCUUCGGGUUGUAAACCUCUUUCAGCACGGAAGAAGCGAAAGUGACGGUACGUGCAGAAGAAGCGCCGGCUAACUACGUG
rnacentral:rRNA from 1 species